rnacentral:rRNA from 1 species
GCCUACGGGGGGCAGCAGUGGGGAAUUUUGCGCAAUGGGCGAAAGCCUGACGCAGCAACGCCGCGUGCGGGAUGAAGGCUCUCGGGUCGUAAACCGCUUUCAGCAGGGAUGAAACUGACAGUACCUGCAGAAGAAGCCCCGGCUAAAUACGUGCCAGCAGCCGCGGUAAUACGUAUGGGGCAAGCGUUAUCCGGAUUCAUUGGGCGUAAAGAGCGCGUAGGCGGAUUGUUAAGCGAGAUGUGAAAACUGGGGGCUCAACCCGCAGCCUGCAUCUCGAACUGGCAGUCUUGAGUCUGGUAGAGGAAAGUGGAAUUCCCAGUGUAGCGGUGAAAUGCGCAGAUAUUGGGAGGAACACCAGUGGCGAAGGCGGCUUUCUGGGCCACGACUGACGCUGAGGCGCGAAAGCUAGGGGAGCGAACAGGAUUAGAUACCCGGGUAGUC